rnacentral:rRNA from 1 species
CUACGGGAUGCUCCAGUAGGGAAUAUUGCACAAUGGGCGAAAGCCUGAUGCAGCAACGCCGCGUGUGCGAUGAAGGCCUUCGGGUCGUAAAGCACUUUUCGGGAGGAUGAGAAAGGACAGUACUCCCGGAAUAAGUCUCGGCUAACUACGUGCCAGCAGCCGCGGUAACACGUAGGAGGCAAGCGUUAUCCGGAUUUACUGGGCGUAAAGCGCGUGCAGGUGGUUUGGUAAGUUGGAUGUGAAAUCUCCCGGCUCAACUGGGUGAGGUCGUUCAAAACUGCUGGACUAGAGGACGGUAGAGGAAAGUGGAAUUCCCGGUGUAGUGGUGAAAUGCGUAGAUAUCGGGAGGAACACCAGUGGCGAAAGCGACUUUCUGGCCCGUUCCUGACACUAAGACGCGAAAGCUAGGGUAGCAAACGGGAUUAGAUACCCUCGUAGUC